UACGUAGGGUGCAAGCGUUAUCCGGAAUUAUUGGGCGUAAAGAGCUCGUAGGCGGCUUGUUGCGUCAGCUGUGAAAACCCGCAGCUCAACUGUGGGCUUGCAGCUGAUACGGGCAGGCUUGAGUUCGGUAGGGGAGACUGGAAUUCCUGGAUGUAGCGGUGAAAUGCGCAGAUAUCAGGAGGAACACCGAUGGCGAAGGCAGGUCUCCUGG
rnacentral:rRNA from 1 species